GCUAUUUUGGCAGAUUAGUGCAUUAAAUUUAGAAUUUAUUUAUGUAAUUUAGGUUACAAAUAGUA
rnacentral:tRNA from 1 species